rnacentral:rRNA from 1 species
AACGUAGGUGGCGAGCGUUAUCCGGAUUCAUUGGGCGUAAAGCGCUUGUAGGUGGCGUGGUAAGUUGGACGUGAAAUCUCCCGGCUUAACCGGGAGGGGUCGUUCAAUACUGCCGGGCUAGAGGAUGUCAGAGGGCAGCGGAAUUCCUGGUGUAGCAGUGAAAUGCGUAGAUAUCAGGAGGAACACCCGUGGCGAAGGCGGCUGCCUGGGGCAUCCCUGACACUGAGAAGCGAAAGCUAGGGGAGCGAACGGGAUUAGAAACCCCCGUAGUCC